AUUCGAAUUGCGAAAAUGGUAAGUGCUAAUUGAUCUCAACCCAAUCCAUCUGAUCACCUAAUGGAGUCUCUACAGCAGUCUCUACGCCUAGAAUGGAGAGCCGUCCCUCGCAGACAUUCUUGAAGUGAAGUAUCAAGAUUUCAAGUUCGCAUCUAAAUUAAUCAAAUCGUAUCAAAAUUGCGUCGGCGAAUCCUCCACAGGCCACAGGAGGAGGAGGAGGAUCUGACAGGGUAAACGAAUAGUGCUCGACUUUCGAUCGAAACUCUCUAAAUCAAUCAAGUGGAAAAUUGCGUUUCGGAAAGAAUAUAUUUCGUAAAUAAAAAGGAGAAUCAAAGUAUAGAAUCAUAUCUUGUUUUAUUUUGAUGUUGUCGUAUGAUGUUUUUAUCAGAGCAUUGGGAUUCCAGAAGAAAGUCUUAGAAGUGUUUUCAAUUGAAAUAAUUUGUUGUGUGAGUGAAAUGUCAAUCUGUCAGCAUAUGCUAUGUUAACAUGUUAACAGUAUGUCUGUGCUGUUAGGCGCAUUUGCGCUCAACAGUACGCUGUUGUGCACAGCUGGUUGAAACGCAAAAAUGAGUCCAAGUGAAGUAUCAAGAUUUCAAGUUCGCAUCUAAAUUAAUCAAAUCGUAUCAAAAUUGCGUCGGCGAAUCCUCCACAGGACACAGGAGGAGGAGGAUCUGACAGGGUAAACGAAUAGUGCUCGACUUUCGAUCGAAACUCUCUAAAUCAAUCAAGUGGAAAAUUGCAUUUCGGAAUGAAUAUAUUUCGUAAAUAAAAAAGGAGAAUCAAAGUAUAGAAUCAUAUCUUGUUUUAUUUUGAUGUUGUCGUAUGAUGUUUUUAUCAGAGCAUUGGGAUUCCAGAAGAAAGUCUUAGAAGUGUUUUCAAUUGAAAUAAUUUGUUGUGUGAGUGAAAUGUCAAUCUGUCAGCAUAUGCUAUGUUAACAGUAUGUCUGUGCUGUUAGGCGCAUUUGCGCUCAACAGUACGCUGUUGUGCACAGCUGGUUGAAACGCAAAAAUGAGUCCAAGUGAAGUAUCAAGAUUUCAAGUUCGCAUCUAAAUUAAUCAAAUCGUAUCAAAAUUGCGUCGGCGAAUCCUCCACAGGACACAGGAGGAGGAGGAUCUGACAGGGUAAACGAAUAGUGCUCGACUUUCGAUCGAAACUCUCUAAAUCAAUCAAGUGGAAAAUUGCGUUUCGGAAAGAAUAUAUUUCGGAAAUAAAAAGGAGAAUCAAAGUAUAGAAUCAUAUCUUGUUUUAUUUUGAUGUUGUCGUAUGAUGUUUUUAUCAGAGCAUUGGGAUUCCAGAAGAAAGUCUUGGAAGUGUUUUCAAUUGAAAUAAUUUGUUGUGUGAGUGAAAUGUCAAUCUGUCAGCAUAUGCUAUGUUAACAGUAUGUCUGUGCUGUUAGGCGCAUUUGCGCUCAACAGUACGCUGUUGUGCACAGCUGGUUGAAACGCAAAAAUGAGUCCAAGUGAAGUAUGAAGAUUUCAAGUUCGCAUCUAAAUUAAUCAAAUCGUAUCAAAAUUGCGUCGGCGAAUCCUCCACAGGACACAGGAGGAGGAGGAUCUGACAGGGUAAACGAAUAGUGCUCGACUUUCGAUCGAAACUCUCUAAAUCAAUCAAGUGGAAAAUUGCAUUUCGGAAAGAAUAUAUUUCGUAAAUAAAAAGGAGAAUCAAAGUAUAGAA
rnacentral:lncRNA from 1 species